GACAGAGGUGCCGAGCGUUAGGCGGAAUCACUGGGCUUAAAGCGUGUGUAGGCGGACCGUUAAGUACCUUGUGAAAUCCCGCGGCUCAACCGCGGAACGGCUGGGUAUACUGGCGGUCUUGAGCGAUCUAGGGGCAGAUGGAACAAGUGGUGGAGCGGUGAAAUGCGUAGAUAUCACUUGGAACGCCAAAGGUGAAGACAGUCUGCUGGGGAUCCGCUGACGCUGAGACACGAAAGCCAGGGGAG
rnacentral:rRNA from 1 species